rnacentral:lncRNA from 1 species
GAAGAAGGAGCUGUUUGGGGGUGAAGGUGUAAUAUAACUGUAAGAGAAAGGGCCGAAGCACGAAUAAAGCGGAGAUGGGAUGGCGGCGCCCCCACACCUUAUCAUCCAAAUAUCAUCCAAGUAUCUCCGGGCAGCUUCCGCCACACACGCCGUAACUCCUAUCACCCUACUGCUCCUCAGUCCUCAGUAUACCAUAGCUUGGCUUCCCCGAAUGGCCGUUCCCAUUUAUAACUACUACUGUUCCCCGCUCCUCGGCUGCCUGCCCUGUGCCUUCCCCUUCUCCUCCUUUCCACCGUAUCGUCAGCUACACCUUCUCUCACCCAAUUCUUUACACUCCUCUUCUUCUUCGCUUUACCAUUUAAAAAAUCAAAGUAUUACUAGCGCUACGAUUACGGUAUGAUGAGAGGAUCUCAUUUACUGAUGCUUGCUCAACUCUUUUCGGAAAAGAAAUCGACGGAAUUGGAAGAAGGAAGAAACAGCUACAGUUAAAAAAGAUUUCCGGCCCAAAUCGGGCAGAAAGCAACGGAAAGCGCAGAAAGGCAGCAAAAUAUAUUUUUAAAUUGCCCAUUCUACCCCUAAAAAACUGUUGAAUAAAAUAUUUAUUUACUUAUAUAUCCAAAAUCACCUGCUUUCUUUCAUAAACUCCCAAACAACAUUAAAAUAUCUUCUCUUCUUUUCUUAUCCUUUCUUCCCUCUCGUAACUUAACCUCUCUCUUCUUUUCUUUUCUAUCCUCAACUCACAAACUAGCUAUAAAUCUCAUUGGAUUAGGAAUUAAAAACCAGAAGAAGGAGCUGUUUGGGGGUGAAGGUGUAAUAUAACUGUAAGAGAAAGGGCCGAAGCACGAAUAAAGCGGAGAUGGGAUGGCGGCGCCCCCACACCUUAUCAUCCAAAUAUCAUCCAAGUAUCUCCGGGCAGCUUCCGCCACACACGCCGUAACUCCUAUCACCCUACUGCUCCUCAGUCCUCAGUAUACCAUAGCUUGGCUUCCCCGAAUGGCCGUUCCCAUUUAUAACUACUACUGUUCCCCGCUCCUCGGCUGCCUGCCCUGUGCCUUCCCCUUCUCCUCCUUUCCACCGUAUCGUCAGCUACACCUUCUCUCACCCAAUUCUUUACACUCCUCUUCUUCUUCGCUUUACCAUUUAAAAAAUCAAAGUAUUACUAGCGCUACGAUUACGGUAUGAUGAGAGGAUCUCAUUUACUGAUGC